AUGUUCCAUAACGACAAUGACGACAUGGUAGCGGAGACUGCGUGGAACCAAAAGGGAAACAAAAGUCCCAUUAAAGCGAAAGCUCAAACUAUCCAAAAUACUUUAUCUGUAGCCAGAAUCAUAAGAUUGAGACAAAUCAAAAUAUACAUUGAUUAUGAGAGAUUAAUUACAGAGGUGAAGAACAGUAGCAAUAACAGUGCAAUCACACGAAUAGGAAGUAUUGUAACAAUUGAGACAUGUCUAACAAACCCUAAAAAGAUUCGAAGAAAGCAACGUUAUUCACAUACUACGGGCCAUGAAC